GGCGGCAGUUCCUUCCGGAAUGCUUCGCCCUUGCUCGCCAACCCCGUCGAUUCUAGCUCACUGUGAGGCACACCCUUCGGCUGCGAACGUCGAUCACCAGAAACACACGCUCCGCGACGACUCGGAUGCUGUGCUCCCAAACGACCAUCGCGACAGAGAAGGGGAUGACAGCACAGUAGUAUCAUAUUCAACCUACGCUGCGGACCACUCCUUGCACGCUGACUCUGUAGUACAGGACGUGCAGGCAGCAGUUCCUUCCGGAAUGCUUCGCCCUUGCUCGCCAACCCCGUCGAUUCUAG